CGUACACUCCUGCGGGAGGCAGCAGUGGGGAAUAUUGGACAAUGGGCGCAAGCCUGAUCCAGCCAUGCCGCGUGAGUGAUGAAGGCCCUAGGGUUGUAAAGCUCUUUUGUGCGGGAAGAUAAUGACGGUACCGCAAGAAUAAGCCCCGGCUAACUUCGUGCCAGCAGCCGCGGUAAUACGAAGGGGGCUAGCGUUGCUCGGAAUCACUGGGCGUAAAGGGUGCGUAGGCGGGUCUUUAAGUCAGGGGUGAAAUCCUGGAGCUCAACUCCAGAACUGCCUUUGAUACUGAAGAUCUUGAGUUCGGGAGAGGUGAGUGGAACUGCGAGUGUAGAGGUGAAAUUCGUAGAUAUUCGCAAGAACACCAGUGGCGAAGGCGGCUCACUGGCCCGAUACUGACGCUGAGGCACGAAAGCGUGGGGAGCAAACAGGAUUAGAAACCCGGGUAGUCC
rnacentral:rRNA from 1 species